rnacentral:rRNA from 1 species
AGUGAACGCUGGCGGUAGGCCUAACACAUGCAAGUCGAACGGCAGCACAGUAAGAGCUUGCUCUUACGGGUGGCGAGUGGCGGACGGGUGAGGAAUACAUCGGAAUCUACUUUUUCGUGGGGGAUAACGUAGGGAAACUUACGCUAAUACCGCAUACGACCUACGGGUGAAAGCAGUGGAUCUUCGGACCUUGCGCGAUUGAAUUAGCCGAUGUCGGAUUAGCUAGUUGGCGGGGUAAAGGCCCACCAAGGCGACGAUCCGUAGCUGGUCUGAGAGGAUGAUCAGCCACACUGGAACUGAGACACGGUCCAGACUCCUACGGGGGGCAGCAGUGGGGAAUAUUGGACAAUGGGCGAAAGCCUGAUCCAGCCAUACCGCGUGGGUGAAGAAGGCCUUCGGGUUGUAAAGCCCUUUUGUUAGGAAAGAAAAGCAGCAGGUUAAUCCCCCGCUGUUCUGACGGUACCCAAAGAAUAAGCGCCGGCUAACUUCGUG